rnacentral:rRNA from 1 species
UUCAAAAACAUGUCCUUAAGAAUUUUGAAUUUAAGGUCUAAUCUGCCCAUUGAAAUUUUUUUAAAAGGCCGCAGAAUAAUUGUGCAAAGGUAGCAUAAUAAUUAGUCCUUUAAUUGGGGGCUAGAAUGAAUGAUUGGACGAAAUAUAAACUGUUUCUUUUUUAAAUAUAAAAUUUAUUUUUUUAGUAAAAAAACUAAAAUUAUUUAGAAAGACGAGAAGACCCUAUAGAUCUUAAUAAUUUUAUUUAUAAGAUUAUAUUUAUUAAUUAUAAUUAUAUUAAAAAUUAUUUAGUUGGGGUGAUUAAAAAAUUUAUUUAACUUUUUUGUUAAUAAUUCUUUUAUUUAUGAAUUUUUUUUUAUUUAUGAUUAUUAUAAAUUAAUAUAAAGAUACCUUAGGGAUAACAGCGUAAUAUUAAUUUUUAGUUCUUAUAAAAAUUAAAGAUUGCGACCUCGAUGUUGGAUUAAAAUUAGUUUAAAAUGUAGGUGUUUUAAAAUUAGGUCUGUUCGACCUUUAAAUUUUUACGUGAUCUAGUUUCAGACCAG